AUUGAACGCUGGCGGCAGGCCUAACACAUGCAAGUCGAACGAGUGGCGGACGGGUGAGUAAUGUCUGGGAAACUGCCUGAUGGAGGGGGAUCACUACUGGAAACGGUCGCUAAUACCGCAUACUAUCGGAUGUGCCUAUAUGGGAUUAGCUAGUAGGUGGGGUAAAGGCUCACCUAGGCGGCGAUCCCUAACUGGUCUGAGGGGAUGACCAGCACCACUGGAACGGAGACACGGUCCAGACUCCUACGGGAGGAAGCAUUGGGGAAUAUUGGACAAUGGGCGCAAGCCUGAUGCAGCCAUGCCGCGUGGAUGAAGAAGGCCUUCGGGUUGUAAAGUACGUUCAUCGGGGAGGCGUUACCCGAAGAAGAAGCACCGGCUAACUCCGUGCCAGCAGCCGCGGUAAUAC
rnacentral:rRNA from 1 species